rnacentral:rRNA from 1 species
UACGAGGGGUCCUAGCGUUGUUCGGAAUCACUGGGCGUAAAGGGCGUGUAGGCGGGAAGGGAAGUCGGGCGUGAAAUCCCUGGGCUCAACCCAGGAACUGCACUCGAAACUUCUUUUCUUGAGUGCCGGAGAGGAAAGCGGAAUUCCUGGUGUAGAGGUGAAAUUCGUAGAUAUCAGGAGGAACACCAGUGGCGAAGGCGGCUUUCUGGACGGUAACUGACGCUGAGACGCGAAAGCGUGGGGAGCAAACAGG